CUGGCCCAGGAAAAGCUGACCUAUCCUCAGACCAUGUGUCCUCGUUGCCCUGGCAUCACGAUCAUAUCCAAACACCCUCCACACAGUACCCUCAUAAUUGGGCGCCACAAUAGGACACUUGCAUAUAUCCAGACAGGAUUACAAUGACAGGUAAUAAAACUUUCCAACAUAGCCAUCAAACUGGUGAAAGGAUCCAUUGAGGAACCAAAACAUUGUAAGAAGAAGCUGGACUCGAGAUGUCACCCUCUGACCCAUCUUCCAGACGUUUGGUAUUCAUAGCUUCUAAUCCUGCGCUAGAUAGUGGCUCUGACUUCAGCUAAAACAAGGAAGAAAAUGUUAUUAAACAGGUUGAGCAUUCAAUGUGUGAUCAGCACCAUUAUAAACAUUGUCUGGUUAUAUAUUUAUAUUUUUAAAAGUGACCAGGAUGAGAUAAUAAAAAUACCUUCCAUGAUCUGAUGCCUUGGUUGCUCUGAUGUCACCAGUCAGACCAGUUACUGCAGCAGACAGUAAUUGGCUAAAAUAGCACUUCCUUGUGUCACAAGGAAAGCAGGAAGCUAUGAGCAGCAGGGACCAGGCACUGAUGGAACUGCAGCGAUGGGGGAUCAUGGCAAGUGGGCAUACUAUUUUUUUUUCUAGCUCAGCAUAAGAAACCUCUUUUCUAUAUUAUAAUGAAAAAUGUCUACUUUUCAAUGUCUAUUUUUAUUAUCAAUUUUAUUUAUUUUAUAUAUCUCAAAUUAAAAAACAGAACACAAUAAAAUAAAUUUUUUAAAACAAUUAGGCAACUCUUAAUUGGAAAUAUCCUACUGUUUUGCAUUAGAAGUUUCCAUGAAGAAGGAUUGCAAUCUUCGGUUUGUAAAGUACAAAUAGGAAUGUGUAUAUUCUAAUCCUGCCGUCAUGAAUAAAUACUAAAUUUAUUUGUACUUUGUAACCAUAGGUAACCAUAGAUCUGCACAGGAGCUGCAGACACAAAAUUGAUGUUUAUUUUUUAAUCAAAAAUAUUUCUUGAAUUUUGUUAAAAAGUCCUGCAUUAGA